rnacentral:lncRNA from 1 species
UUUGGGGACAUAUUUCUACUAUCACGCAGAGAAAUGAUGUUCUGAGUGAAAGUCUUUGGAUUGAUUAGCACCUAUUGCUGCCUGUAUGAACCUUCCUCUCUUGAAAUCUGGCCUCAAGUAAUUUAUCCAAUUGACUUUUCCCACAUCUUUCCAAUCUAGAAAGAAGUAAGAGAGAUCACAUUUGUUUGAUAGCUUAGAAGAGAAAGCAGAG